GAUGAAGAACGUAGCGAAAUGCGAUACUUGGUGUGAAUUGCAGAAUCCCGCGAAUCAUCGAGUUUUUGAACGCAAGUUGCGCCCGAAGCCAUUCGGCCGAGGGCACGUCUGCCUGGGUGUCACGCAUCGUUGCCCCCCCAAACUCCGGUUCGGGCGGGGCGGAAGUUGGCCUCCCGUGCGUGCCUGCGCGCGCGGUUAGCCCAAAAGCGAGUCCUCGGCGAUGAGCGCCACGACAAUCGGUGGUUUUUUUACCCUCGUUCCUCGUCGUGCGUGCCCCGUCGCCCGAACGCGCUCUUGCAACCCUUACGCGUCGCCUCGGUGGCGCUCCCAACGCGGCCCCAGGUCAGGCGGGACUACCCGCUGAGUUUAAGCAUAUCAAUAAGCGGAGGA
rnacentral:misc_RNA from 1 species